rnacentral:lncRNA from 10 species
ACAGGUCUGGUGAUGAUAAACUCCCUCAGCUUUUGUUUGUCUGGGAAAGCCAUUAUCUCUUCUUUGUUUCUGAAGCACAGUUUGCCAGGUGCCUUAUGAGUUUUUGCAGAUAUACCCACAGACACUUAAAUGAACGAAACAAGGAACAACAAACAGGACACUUGCUACACAUGCCGAGGACCCUCACUUUAGGAAUAUGUAGAAAACAAUGUGGCAUUUUCAAAUGGAUAAAAAGCUGUUCAUAUCUCCCACAAUUGACUGAAUGUUCUAA